UCUUAAGGUAGCCAAAUGCCUC
rnacentral:siRNA from 1 species